rnacentral:misc_RNA from 1 species
CAUACUAUGCUGUGCUUGAACCUUAUAUGCAGACCCUCUUUCAACUUACAUCAAAUGCAGUAAAAGGAGAUGAAGAGACAGUUGCCCUCCAAGCAAUUGAAUUCUGGAGCUCCAUCUGUGAUGAAGAGAUAGAGCGUCAAGAAUAUGAUAGUCAUGAAGGUGGGCAUUUUGAGCAUGUGCAUUGUCAUUUCAUAAAGAAGGCCCUUCCAUCUCUUGUUCCUAUGUUGCUGGAAACAUUAUUGAAGCAGGAAGAGGAUCAGGAUCAGGAUGAUAGCAUCUGGAAUAUAUCCAUGGCAGGUGGGACAUGUCUAGGUCUUGUUGCUAGAACUGUUGGGGAUGAGGUUGUGCCCCUUGUAAUGCCUUUUGUGGA